rnacentral:rRNA from 1 species
CCUACGGGUGGCAGCAGUGGGGAAUAUUGGACAAUGGGGGGAACCCUGAUCCAGCCAUGCCGCGUGUGUGAAGAAGGCCCUCGGGUUGUAAAGCACUUUCAGUGAGGAAGAACGCCUGGUGGUUAAUACCCAUCAGGAAAGACAUCACUCACAGAAGAAGCACCGGCUAACUCCGUGCCAGCAGCCGCGGUAAUACGGAGGGUGCGAGCGUUAAUCGGAAUUACUGGGCGUAAAGCGCGCGUAGGUGGCUUGAUAAGCCGGUUGUGAAAGCCCCGGGCUCAACCUGGGAACGGCAUCCGGAACUGUCAAGCUAGUGCAGGAGAGGAAGGUAGAAUUCCCGGUGUAGCGGUGAAAUGCGUAGAGAUCGGGAGGAAUACCAGUGGCGAAGGCGGCCUUCUGGACUGACACUGACACUGAGGUGCGAAAGCGUGGGUAGCAAACAGGAUUAGAUACCCCUGUAGUC